rnacentral:sRNA from 1 species
GACCACUUCCUUUGGAAGUCAAGGCCAUCCGGACAGCCGGGUCCACUGCCGA